rnacentral:rRNA from 1 species
GAUCCUGGCUUAGGAUGAACGCUGGCGGCGUGCCUAAUACAUGCAAGUGAAACGGGUAUCUUCGGAUACCAGUCGCGGACGGGUGAGUAAUACAUAGGCAACCUGCCUUUAUGAGGGGGAUAACCGAGGGAAACUUUGGCUAAUACCGCAUGAAGACUCUAAGGCAUCUUAGAGGGAUAAAAGUUGGGAAACAACGCAUGAAGAUGGGCUUAUGGCGCAUUAGCUAGUUGGUGAGAUAGAAGCCCACCAAGGUAAUGAUGCGUAGCCGACCUGAGAGGGUGAACGGCCACAUUGGGACUGAGACACGGCCCAAACUCCUACGGGAGGCAGCAGUAGGGAAUUUUCGGCAAUGGGGGGAACCCUGACCGAGCAACGCCGCCGUGAAGGAAGAAGGUUUUCGGAUUGUAAACUUCUGUUAUAAGGGAAGAACGGAUUGGAUAGGGAAUGAUCUGAUAGUGACGGUACCUUAUUAGAAAGCCACGGCUAACUACGUGCCAGCAGCCGC